rnacentral:lncRNA from 1 species
CGCCGCAGCUCGCGUGACGCACCGCGGGGCCUCGCCCGGGUGUUCGCUCCGCCGCCUGUCCGCGGAUCGGCGCUGCGAGCCCCGCGGCUGCCUGCGGGACACCUGAGCGCGGAGGGUGCGGCACCUUGGCACCUUGACCCUGUGGCAGGGACAUCUCGGCCCAGGAAAGAAUGAGGUUUAGGCACGGCCUAACCACCUAAGUGAGGGCACUGAAGCUGCCGGGGGAAGGGCAAGGUCCGCGUUGCAGAGCCCAAGCCCAGUGGCGCAGGAUUUGUUUUGGUCUCAGUUUGCUUCAUCUCUGGAAUGGAGAUGGUUUCCUAUGUGAUCAUGAAAAUUUCUCCCAGCUCUGAAGACCUUUUAUUUUGUAAGAAUCAUUGUGAAGGUAUGGGCUUGGCAAAUGAAUGGAAAGAUGAGCAAUGGGAGAGGAAAGAAUUGAAGAGGGCUGUGAGGUUUGAAGAAUGGCAUCCCCCAUGAAGUGGCGCUGAAAGAUCACGAUAGCACAGUUCCAUGAUGUGAAAUACCACAAGUCUGCAAUUUUUCGGUCUUGAGAGUGUCGCUGGGCUGAGAGGAUGGAAAUCUUUCAGUAAUUAUACCAGUUUGUAUUCGUCUCACAUUUGGGACCAAAUACAAAUCCGAUCCACUCUUUCUCCCUGUGAAUAUUCAUAAAAAACAAAGUGCCAAUUCUGGUCUAAUCAUGUAUGGAACCAAAUAUGUUGAUGAGUCCUAAGUAUAUACUGUAUGUAUGUAUACAUAUGAAUAUAUAUAUUUGUACACACUAAUUUUGCUUGUGUCCUCCUCUGUGCAAUUUGUUUGUUUAGUAUAGGGGUUGCUGUUAUAAUGUGUUAAUAAGCUGCUGAAAGCUUGGCACCUAUUACUUGAAAUGACAGCUAUGUUAGAAGCCUAUUAACACUCCAUAGCAGCAGCUCUGCAGCUACUAGAAAUGAAUUUCAAAGAAGGUAAAUGAACAAAAGCGAUUCAUAUCUCUAAGGAAAGCAAAUACCAUGCCUAGAACCAUAUAUACUUUGGAAAUGUACAGUGUAUAAAAUGAAAAACCUCUUCCAGUUAAAGAAACAGCGGAAGGGAAUAUUUGGGGAAAGGAAGACUGCCUAAAAGAUUUCCAAACAACCUUGAAGAUGUAAAUGUAAAGGAUACCAAACAUAACUUCCUCUCUUUGUUUCUAUUGUAUUUAAACCAGAUCCAUGUCAAACUUAUAAGAACAGAAUAUAGUACAGGUAGAGGAAAUUCACUUUUCAUGAGCAAAAGUUAAAUCAUCUGGAUUUAGCUCAAACUUCUUUUUCUUCAUUUCUGAGCUUAGAAGGACACCCUUUGCUAUUGUUCUCGGAAGCAGGGCUCUUUAUGAGUCAGCUUGCUCUGCUUUUGAACUACUUUACUUACUUUUGACUGUCAUUGGAAUUUGCAAGAUGGUUGAAAGUCCUGGGUAAACCUUAACCAUGAUAAUAAAAAUGUGGUAAGUUAAAAAAAAAAAAAAAAAAAAAAAAAAAAAAAA